GCAGGAGAAAGGUGUGUGGCGGAAACAUCCUGGAAAUCUAUUCAUCAAACAACUGGCCUUGAGGAUUUACUAGCUGUGGUGAGAGAAUAUCUCCAGUCUUCCUGGUGGACAGCCAGACUGGGCAAAAGAUCUCUACCUUGCUGGGACAUCUGAGGACAUCAGCUGGACUCCUGUACCUGACUCACCAAGGACCCUUUGUUUGUGAGAAAUCUGGUUACCUGUUGGACUUGCCUUUAGGAAUUCAUGUAAUUAGUGAAGUGACAACGAUGGUCUCCCAGGAAGACUAGCAACCAGCAUCUCUUCAUUUUGCCAGGAAGGCGCCUUAUUGAAGAGAAAGGAUGGAGCUUUGGGGGUCCUUCCACGGCGACACCAGUGAGACCCAGGGGAAAAGCCAGUCUACAGUACGCGUUGGACUUUGAGUCAAAAGAGCUGACAGCCAGGCAAAGUUUGGCCAGGCUAUAAAAUGGGUAAACAAUGUCAGAACCACUGAAGCGGAGGUCCAUCUGCAAUGUCGGGGAGCAAGCACGGGGAAGCCAUGCCUCCCCUUCCUUCCUAAUGGGAAGCAGCUGUGUAGUUGCAGGCGACCCAGACCGGAGUUUGAUGGAGAUUUUACUGGGCAGCACUCACUGGCUCGAGACUUUGGCUCCAAACCUCUCACUUUUGGUUCAGAGCUGGCCUCCCGUUCAAUCACUGUAAUUUUGCAUGGAGUGACAAAUAGAAUGAUAUAUACAGAACAUAGAUGUUGAUUAUACCCUACAUAAAACAUGCGUUUUAACUUUGUUGCAGUUUUUGGCAUUUCUGAAUUUAAGGGCCAUUAAAAAAAAGACUAAAAAACAACAAAAUACCACAUGUAAGCAAUUGAUUCUUGCUAUUUGGAUCUAAAACACCAAGAUCACAAUCUGUCCACAGAAUUUUGAAUCUUAUAAUUCCACCAUUUGGCUCCAAACCUAGUGACUGUGAAAACAUGUCUUUGUUUGGGUGUGUCCGACUGAUUAACAGCCAUGAAAAUAAGUACACCGCUAUGCCCCAGGCUUGAAAGAAAUCAGGGCGUGCCUAAAGAAACGUUGGGCAUGAGUCCCAAAAGCAGUGU
rnacentral:lncRNA from 1 species